UACGGAGGGUGCAAGCGUUAUCCGGAUUCACUGGGUUUAAAGGGUGCGUAGGAGGGCAGGUAAGUCAGUGGUGAAAUCUCCAAGCUUAACUUGGAAACUGCCGUUGAUACUAUCUGUCUUGAAUAUUGUGGAGGUGAGCGGAAUAUGUCAUGUAGCGGUGAAAUGCUUAGAUAUGACAUAGAACACCAAUUGCGAAGGCAGCUCACUACUCAAUCAUUGACUCUGAGGCACGAAAAGCGUGGGGAUCAAACAGG
rnacentral:rRNA from 1 species